GAGUUUGAUCCUGGCUCAGGACGAACGCUGGCGGCAUGCCUAACACAUGCAAGUCGAACGGACAUGGCGAGGAUAUAGCGAUAUAUUUUGAGCUAUGUUAGUGGCGAACGGGUGAGUAACACGUGAGCAACCUGCCCUUUACUACGGGAUAACGCUCGGAAACAGGCGGCCUAAUACGGUAUAAGACCACACUUAAUGGCAUCAUAGAGCGGUAAAAGCGAUUUAGCGGUAAAGGAUGGGCUCGCGUCCAAUUAGCUGGUUGGUAGGGUAACGGCCUACCAAGGCGACGAUUGGUAGCCGACCUGAGAGGGUGAUCGGCCACACUGGAACUGAGACACGGUCCAGACUCCUACGGGAGGCAGCAGUGGGGAAUAUUGGGCAAUGGAGGAAACUCUUACCCAGCAAUGCCGCGUGAGCGAAGAAGGUCUUCGGAUUGUAAAGCUCUUUGAUGUA
rnacentral:rRNA from 1 species